UCCCCAAGAAUUUGGGUGGUCGCAAAUCCCGGAUGAGCCCCCAACUGAUAGACCCCCAGAUGGGGAGACCCUCACUCAAGUCUCGGGAUAAGCCGA
rnacentral:pre_miRNA from 11 species